GAGUUAGUAGCUCAGCGGAGAAGAGCACAUGGUUCCGGACCAUGAGGUCAAGGGUUCAAAUCCCUUCUAGUUCA
rnacentral:tRNA from 1 species